CCUGCUCCAGAAAUACCUCCCAGAGAUCCUAAUGCUGCUGAUGAUGAGCAGUGCAUGAUGGAGACGGGGCACGCUUCCAUAUCUGUGAGCCAGAGGGAGCAGAGUCCAGAAUUUGAGCCCCAGCCCAGUUCUGUAGAGCAACCUGCUCCAGAAAUACCUCCCAGAGAUCCUAAUGCUGCUGAUGAUGAGCAGUGCAUGAUGGAGACGGGGCACGCUUCCAUAUCUGUGAGCCAGAGGGAGCAGAGUCCAGAAUUUGAGCCCCAGCCCAGUUCUGUAGAG